rnacentral:tRNA from 1 species
GCGGCUGUGGCGGAACUCGGUAGACGCGCGGCGUUCAGGUCGCCGUGUCCUUAGGGACGUGGAGGUUCAAAUCCUCUCAGCCGCA